CUCUCAGAAGUUUCCUGUGAUCCAACCGAUGGAAGUGAAGACCAGAAGAAAAGAAGGGAAUUUAAAUUAGAUAAUCUUAUCCAAAGGACUUUGCAUCCCUAUAGUCAUGGAUGUGAAACUGAAAUUGGAACUGUUGUGUUGCUGUCCUAAGUGAAAAAUUGAAGUUACUUACAUGAAAAUGGAAACAAUCACAACAUUUAGAGUCGUUUGGAGGAGCUACUAUUGCUGCCCUAGCCCCUUUGGAAAAAAAAAAUAUAUGUACUUCCCAAAGGACCAAAUGUGAUCAUCUAAUAGGUAAGAGUUUGGCAAGAAAUGAAGGAAGAUGGAACUACUUUUUGUGUUCCACAGCAAAGGCUGAGAAAUAAGAACGCUAUGGAACAAUAUUACUUUUGGAGAAGAUUUCAUGGUAUCUACCCCCUGGAGGUGAGAUGGAAAACACAGGGACCAUGUGAGGCAGACCAGCCUGCCUUUGAAGACAUGAGACUUCUUGCUAUCUCAGCAAAUUAAGAGAAGAUCCUGCCUGUUCUGCAGCUGUUCCUUAUUAUCCAAGCUGUCUAGGAGCUGAAGUAUAAACACAAGGAGGAACACAAUAGUAGUACUAUCUUAACCUGCUCACUUGAUUUUCCAAGUUCCAUAUAUCAACCCUUGCAGCUUAAUCAGUCCAUGUAACCUGAAUGAGACUUCUUCUGCUCUUCACAUGCACCUGCUCAACAUCUGGGCUAUGGAUGGAAGUUACUGGAGCCUUUCAACUAACCUAUUAGAGACUUUUGCCUGGAGAAAGUGAGGGAGGCUUGAGACAGAGGGGACAGCUUGAAUAUUUCUUCAUGGCAAUCUGUGGUGUGCAGGUUUGUGCUCUUCAAGACAAUACCCCAUUCAGUAUUCUAAAAAGGUUAGAUGGGGAAUAAUUUUCUUCAUAAGAUUAGGGUCUUCUUGGUCUAUUGAUUUAUGAAAUACAGAUCUAGGAAAUGCAGCUAUACCUUCACAUCUAUCAGAUAAUCUUGGGGU